rnacentral:rRNA from 1 species
UGCCUAAUACAUGCAAGUCGAGCGGAUCGAUGGGAGCUUGCUCCCUGAGAUCAGCGGCGGACGGGUGAGUAACACGUGGGUAACCUGCCUGUAAGACUGGGAUAACUCCGGGAAACCGGGGCUAAUACCGGAUAACACCUACCCCCGCAUGGGGGAAGGUUGAAAGGUGGCUUCGGCUAUCACUUACAGAUGGACCCGCGGCGCAUUAGCUAGUUGGUGAGGUAACGGCUCACCAAGGCGACGAUGCGUAGCCGACCUGAGAGGGUGAUCGGCCACACUGGGACUGANACACGGCCCAGACUCCUACGGGAGGCAGCAGUAGGGAAUCUUCCGCAAUGGACGAAAGUCUGACGGAGCAACGCCGCGUGAGUGAAGAAGGUUUUCGGAUCGUAAAACUCUGUUGUUAGGGAAGAACAAGUGCCGUUCGAAUAGGGCGGCACCUUGACGGUACCUAACCAGAAAGCCACGGCUAACUACGUGCCAGCAGCCGCGGUAAUACGUAGGUGGCAAGCGUUGUCCGGAAUUAUUGGGCGUAAAGCGCGCGCAGGUGGUUUCUUAAGUCUGAUGUGAAAGCCCACGGCUCAACCGUGG